CAUUGAAACUUCACUCGAACAUAAAAGAAGCAGAAUAAAGCCGCCAUACUCUACAACGACAACAAACACUCACUCUAACCUAAGCAGGAAGAUCUAGCUAGAAGGCGACCCAAAGUCGCCAAUGAAGCUAACAAAAGAAAACGCCCAAUUCACGAACACCAUCAAGAGAAGAGGAACCACUCUAAGCACUUAAGGAUCACCACAUUACCCCCGCGAAGCGAGAGUGCGUUCGCCGUUUUCGGGCACACUUAACGGGGUCAAAAGCCAAUCAGGAGAACCCGCGUUGUGCUAUCGCACCGUCGGGUCAAGAGGCCUAAGACGACGCGAAAAUGAAAGAAAAAGGCGGCUGUCAAACAUAGGUCACACUUUAACGAAAUACUCAAUACUAAUAUAUACUAGAACUCUACACGAGUAGGACAGAAUACUUAGCCAUCAUAAGUAUUUCUUUAAUGAUGAAGAGGAACCUUAUAUGGCCAUCUAAACGUCAUUCAUACGGUAGCUCAAGUAGUAAUUGUGGACCAUCUAAACGGUACGGCAGCCAGGUGGUAAAUAGUGAACCGUCUAAACAGGCACGGAAGACGGGUCGGUUAAGAGACUGAGCAAGAGUACUUUUUCUGAACAGCACAGAACCUUCGAUUUCUUAAUUAAAUGAGAACCACAACGUUUAUCUGUUUCCUUAAAAGAGGACAUACGAUCAUCGUCAAAGAAUCAUACUAGGUGGCAUGGUAGACGGACCGAUAAGGGCUCUUUUGUCCAAUAACAGACGGAUUGAUGAUGUGUCGUUCUACAGCCAUCGGUUCUUCCUGCUCCAAACGCCAGUAGGCGAACCCGAAGCUAACCCACUCGGCCGACGACCACAAGGGUAAUUCUUUUCCGGUCAAAAGAAUAGGCUGUUUAGUCAAGGUAGACCUUACUGUGAGAGGUACUUCGGGGGUAGAUGAGGCUGCCCCUACAGGCAGAGCCGAGACCCCCGCCCGAAAUCGUUGCUCGGACAGAACUUAUCUAGAUUUAGCCUAUAAGGGUUAUCUAGAAAAUGAGGCAGCUGCUUGCUCUUCUUUCCGCACGAUGAAUUACCGAGUUCGUUCUAGGGGAGAGCGCCUCUCUCACCAUCUGAUCCCUCACGACGAGGGCAACGGUCUAGUGUCUCAGUGUUCAAAGACUGAAACCUAAAUGUCAAUCGCAGAGCAGUCUUACAGUUUUAGUUGAGAUUAAGGGGACAGUUCUUUCUCUUUGAUCUAGUCCCCAAAAGAUAUAAAGGAAGUCGUUCUGGAGGGUUCCUACACGUUUGUUGUUCACCGUACCUUAGAAGAAGAUUGCGAUCGAACCCUUUUGAUAGAUUAAAUCUAGAAUUACAUAGUGACCUGGGUCAACUAGUUGAACUUCCAAACGGAUGUUACGUCCGACCGAAAUUGUAUGGAGUAGUAUGUUGUUAAGUCGUAGUCUUUCGUGUCCAAGGGGGUCACCGUGGGAAAAGAAGUCAUUCGUCAGCCGACUCAGAUUUAUAACUGUUAUGAGACUUUGUCGGCGUACGUAUAGUUGAAGGAUUAUUCUCACAUCGUCGACUACAAUGGAAUCUAAACGUUGAAUUUGGUGGUUGGUCUGGGCUCGAACCUUAUUCGACCUUUCCGGAACGAGGACUAGGUCUCGAUUCGGAGAGAGACAGACCAUUAGUGUGUCUACUCGGAUUCCCAGACUUACAAGGACUACGAUAUAAAUGUAGACUUGGACAACUUUCUCGGUUAUUCUAGUCGGACCUCCAAGGACGUGGUCAGAGACUAUUUAGUGGUCGACUCUUCGAAGACUUUGGACACCGCACAUUACAUUUAGGAGCGUGAUGGUACGGUGUUUGUCAAAGACCUUUACACCUCUAUUACGGGUCAUUAAACCACUUCUUUCUCGGACCUCUUGGAUGUCCCGCUGUAUAGGUCUUUUUACAUCUUUUCCGUGGAGACAAGCAGGUUGUUUCACAACCUGUCCGAUCGUCAUCACGACUUAAACUUUUUUGACCGUUGGAUUUGGCUCACACACCAUUUCGACCGAAACUAAACAUGAGACCUUUUAAAGGUUUACCAUCACGACAGGCGUUACCUAACCUCCAUCACUGACUAUCACAAGGACAUGUUUGACUGUUCAACACACCACAACGAACGUGACUCUUUCAAUAGUUCGCACUUCUUCACUGUUGACGGUAGGGUUCGGGACACUAACGUUGUCAUUCACCAGUCAGACUCAGUAAUUAACGAUUUAGUGACGUAAACCUUCCAUUACAACGGUCGGGACAACGACCUAAUACACUUGGUCGAUCAGUUGGGUGGUAAAGACGAAGCCCUGGACGUUCGACAUUAGGACAAUUUCGAUGAUGACUAACAUUUGGUCGUCAAUUAGUCUAAGCACGAGCGUUUUUACACCGGGCCUUCGGAACACUACAUAGGGCUUCAAGGAGGUUGGGAUGUCGACUUAGAAACCAAAAGUUAAGAGACGUGGCACGACAUGAACUACCAUACAGGGUUCCUUCACGAAGUUACCUGAAAAGUCUCCUACCACUAUUACGACAAAGUGUCGACGGAUGAUGGUUAUUCGGAGUACAACUCAGUAACCCAUUAUCAGUUUAAUGACUCGAAUUAUUGAAUUAGUGUCUCGGCGCCUUUCUUCCACUAUCAUUAUACGUAGUACUGACAAACAGGCACUGUUUAUUCCAAGUGUAAGUCCCGUGACUACUACACUUCGCACAAUUAUGCGGUCUACAGUAACGGUGAGUAAGUCCACUCCUCCUCGUACUUUCACUCCAAAGACAAUUACCCUUUCGGUUUCUGUUUGUUAACAACUGUAGACUAUUCUUAAGGGGUGACUGAUUAUGACUGUAAUGGUACCUUCUACAAUUCUAAAGGCGUCCACGGUCAAGUCGUCUAGAAUGCUCUAGUGGAUAAAACCCUCGAAGUCCAAGGGUAUUUUAUCUAAGAUGCUCCGUUAGAGGGUUCUGUAGACUAUUGUGACAGCUCUUCACAUCUUAGGGUCACUAUUUUAGACUUUCCUCAGUCAGAGGACUACCAUUCGUUCGACGAUUAACAUCGCUCCUGUUAUGUUUUUAACGACGACAUUUCUCACUCGUACCCUGUCUUUUCCUUCUCUAACGAUCUCCAAGAUUAAAUGUCGGUUUGCUAGGUCAAAACCCACUUCUAAGUGAACAACUGCCUCGAAGCUGGUCAGUUGAUGUAUUACUUAGAUGUCUCUUACUUUUUCUACCUGUCCAAUUACCCAGCGUAACCGCUCUACACCGUUUACGAAUACAAUUAUCCUUACUCUCUACCCUCUCCAAGUACGUCAGACUCGCUCUCUUGUUAUCUCUCAAGGUACCACCGUCUCUGUACUUGUUAGUUGCCUCCUACCUGGGUGCAAUAGCACCAGCACCACCACCUAUAGUACCGGUAGGUUCCUUGAAGUCCCCAGGUUCUUACUCGCUACUCAGACUUUAACUGAAGCUUCUACUUGGAUAACAACCGUCUUCCUCCGGUGUACUUUUACUGAUGCCCGUGAACGUGGCUUGAGUCGUAUCCGCCGACGCAAGUGGUGGCGUAGUCUACGGACCGACGGAGUACUCUCUUUACCUCGUACUGUCUAAAAGACCCUCUCUCUAAUACCUGGGAUCCGACAACCUUGUGCCCGUCUACCUACUACAGGGUCUACUGUACUACCUUGUCUCCAAAAAGUACGGGGUAGGAGUAAGUGUCGUGUGAGAUCCACUAGUACGUAAAUAGGUGUCCCUGUCGUCAGUAAGUGGACCAGUUUCUUCCCCGCGGGGGCACGUAAAGGUGGCCCCUGCCAGGGGACUUUGGUACGUUUCUAGUGGUGGUGAUUUGUCUUCACUGUCUGGUAUGAAUGGAGUAGUUGCGGUGUAUGCUGCGGCACCAAGAGGUAAGCUGGCUCAUCCUGUACUGCUCUCUCCAUACGUUUCCUUGUACUUCGCCACACCGUACGUAGUUCCACACCUUCCACUCUGGAAACUCGGUGGAAAUGUAGGGCGAGUUGAUCGGCUCGAUGUACGUCUCCGACUCGAAUGUUUCUCUUCCUCCAAACCCCUCUCCUCUCGCAUAGCAGCUAGGAACCUUGCCUCGGGGUACCCGCCGCUGCUCCUCUACGAGAGCAUGGUGCCGCUACCGCUGUAGCUGAAACGGCUACCACUACCGCCAGGUGCCCUCGGACUGCCGGCACCGAAGUCCUUGUCUUACCUCGUGGCUCGUUCCCCGCUCGUCCUUCUACCGAAGUCCAUGGCACCGGGAGUCCCCCCCACGGCACUGCCGUUGGGCUUACUGUCAUCUAGCUUCUUCUCCUCCUCCAUACGACGUCGCAUU
rnacentral:rRNA from 1 species